ensembl:snRNA U6 U6 spliceosomal RNA
AUAGAUUUCGAUCUCCUCUUAUAUAUACCAACAUUGGAACCAUACAGAGAAGAUUAGCAUGGACCCUAGGCAAGGAUAACAUGCAAAUUCAUGAAAUGUUCUUUGCUAUU